AAAGAGCACCUGUAGGAAAUACUUGCUUUUAUUUGCCCAAUUAUAAUGGGAGCAAAGAUUAUCGUAAGGAAAAGCUUCUCACGAAUGUGACAUUUGGCUCUAGAUAACACCUUUCAAGUUCUUUUAGGAUUUGUGAUAUUAAACGCUUUCAUGAUUUCAGGAAUGCUAAUUACAAUACUUGUUUCUUUUUCGCAAAAUACUAGGAAGUGGUAUUUCCCUUCAUAAAGUUAUGUAUAAACCAAUUGCUUAACUUAUGUUUAAACCAAAAACGAUAGUGUCGUUUUCAAGCUUUCAGAUAGCCUCCUAUGUAUCUUGUUGAGAACAAUAGAUUUUUGAAUGAUCAGCGUAAUGGCAGGCUUCAGCCUCAUUAAACAAAAGCGGAAUGUGGUUUGCACAUGUAUUAAAUUAAUCAAAUGAGCCAGGUCAUGACACUGCCGAAAUUCAUUACGACCUGACCAACUUUCUACUUUGCUUACAAAUACGUUUGAUGAAACAUGAUUUUCCUGACAUUAGUAAGGGUACGAGCAAAAUUAUUUCUUAUAUAUGGAUGAACAUUCAUAAGCAUGAAUGAGGCUUUAAUUUGAUUCUAUGCUGGCUUUAAUUUUAUGAGGCUUUAAUUUAACUAUGCUUCCAUCUCUAGCUUAUCCAGUAUCCAGCUUUUUCUAAAGAGUGGCAAUUUGGGGAUUGAUGUCUUGAGAAUGGUCCAAGAACCAAGCUCUAUUUUGGUUAUGUCAGAUUUCGUUAAUGAUUUUAGAUAUCAUUUUCUAUUAUGUCAGAGGGAUAUUUCUUUUUUUUGAAUUUAAAACCAAGCCGGCGCCAGUCAUUUGGAACCCAAUUAUGUCUCAAGUUGAACUAAGCACUUCUUAUUCAAUAUCAACCAACCCAAAUAAUAUAACAGCUCCACUAUACAGGAGUCAGCUACUAUCGUCAAACUUUCAAUUAGACCCCAAUUGUUACCCAGAAUUCAUUUAAACACUUAUGGCAUCCACGGAUUAAGGCGAAAAAGGUUUACCAACCUUUAUAAUGACCAUGAGGUGGCCAUCGAUGAGUGUUUUUAGUCAGUUUUUGUGCCAAAAUUGACGGUUGAAAAAAGAUAUCCACUGUGAAGGAGAAGAGAAAAGUCUUUCUUUCGUUCACCGCACACGGAUGGAAAAUGCCACAUGUGAACAAGAUUUAAAAACAUAUGUAACAUCCGCAUUAGUGCUUCAUGUGUCGUUCCGUUUAGCAGUGUUUGGAUCUAUCUACAUAAACAUGAAAAGGCCACUAUUGUUUAGACAGAAGGAGUUUGUUUCAAUUUUGGGACUCCAUUGGUAACAUUUUGAAUAGGCAACAAGCACUAAUUGGGCAACCUCAACAGUCAUGUGAUCACAUUUCUAAUUGGCCAAUUUUGAUCCACAACUGGCCCAUCCAAUAAGACGCUUCAUUUGAAAUCGGUUAACCUUAUGAAAUUGCAAUGUUGCAAACAUAGUGAAGAAUGGUAAGCAAUGAUACCAGUACAAGAUCUUUUGAAAGUAUUUGUAAGCAAUUUUCUUAAAGUAAAAAUUAGAAAAACGUAUCGAUCGUGAUAAUUUCAUCUUAAUCCAGUGAAAAAUGCAUGGUUAAAAAUGGAAUUCACCAAGAGUCUAUCAUUUAGGAACACCAACAACAUCUCUCAUGUAUUUCAUAGAUUUGCCAUGCCAUGUCAACUCAGCAUAAGACUUCUUCAAAGAGCUUGUUAUGUGGGCAUUUUCAGUUUUGCCAUCCUCUGUCACUUGCUGGUGCACCUUAAUUGAGAAAAAAUAACUAGUUGAAAAUCAUUUUGCUAUUUGAGCAAAAAAAAUACUUUGAGUGCCUGGAACAAGGACUUGGAGUGCACUUUCUGCUGCACAUACCAUAAAAAGCAAUCUGGCUUCCACUACUCUCAAGUCUGUAUUCCACUGGGAUUAAGGGGGUUUUGGUAGGUGGGUAGAUGGAAUAUUUCCAAAAUCAUAAUGGAUGGGGUGGAUGGGAAGCAGUACCUUUAAAUUUGAAGCAGAAGGAAAAUAAACAGAAUGCUGUUCUCUAAAAGCUUUUGCUUAAAAUAGGUUAUAAGUUUAACAGAACCAGAUAAUAAAAUGUCCAAUUAUGACGCUUUCUCAAGUUUCUUAAUACACAAGGCUCUACAGUAAAAACAGGGUGUCUGGAAUACGGAUAUCUCAAGUAGAUUAUUUCCAAAAAAGCGAAGACAAGGGAGAAACAUUAAACCUGGAGAGUAGGACCAGUAUUCUAUUUUUCUUGAAACAAUUAUACUAAUCUACAUUAGAUGUGGGUUUAGAACGUCCAAUUGCAGUGUUAACAUGGUGUUGGAUGUGUUUGGAUGUUCAUUGAGUUUUUUGAGCCUAUAUUAGAUGUUAUGAACAGGGCUGCAUUCAGAGUUUUGGGGCCCUGGGCACAAAAAAGAAUGAGGGCCUGUAUGCAGAUAUACGUACCUAUUUGAUUUUGAUUAAGUGUUAAUAUACCUUCCAAUAGAACCUGUCAAUACUCGAAAAUUUGGACCCUCUUGCGCUAGGGGCUCUAUGCACAGUGCCCAGUAUGCCCUGUUGUUAGUGUAGCACUGGUUGUGAAAUCUUAAGCAUUGUGAAACAGAUUCUAAUUUUAUCCAUGUUCAAAUCUGAUAUCUCCCUGUUCUGUGGCCUUAGAAAUCAAAGGCAGAGGACUCUUAUAAUAGAUUGAAAAAUGCCUUCUUACCUGUGGGAUAUUAACCAUGUGUUUGACUGGAAGGCACCCUAAUUCACUUAAAAAUGGUCGAAGUGCCAUGCAUGCAGAUAUACCACCUUGCUGCCCCAUUGAAUAGGUAACCAUAGCCGAAGGCUUGAACUCAAAGCUACAGGAAAAAGGAAACAUAUAAAAAGACAGAAAAUUGACUCAAGUUUCUCUCUUGUCCUAAGAACUAGUCAUUCACACCCCAAUUAUCAAGUUUUUGAAACACCACUGAAUACCAUGACAAGAAGUUCUUGGCAAAUCAUAUAUCUUAUCUAGGAUCAUAAUAAGUUAUAAUUUCUUACAGCAUAGUAACUAGCUGGUCAUUUAUAUCUAUCACAUCAAUCAGUCCUUGCACCAAACAAAGGCUAACCAUUGGCUGCCAGCUUUUAUUUGUUGACAGGGUGUUUUAAACAGAAUUUAGCUAUUUAACAAAACAGCUUUCUUGAGUUCAUUAAAUUUUCGUUCCGACUAGGUGAUUAAGAACAUGUAAGUGCGUUUAUUUCUAAUGGCUUAUUUGCAUGGAAGUGACAGAUUCACUCUCAAAGAAUUCAAAGAAUAAUAACAUUGUAAGAAACCUUUUCAAAAUAAACCAAGACGUUAAAAUGUUGCAAAGCCUCUUAGCUGUUAGCCCUACAAGCCUAAAAUAACAAAGCGUGGCCCUACAAGCCUAAAAUAACAAAGCGUGGCCCUACAAGCCUUAUGGCCUCAUACAAAUCAACCAGCAAAGUCCAGCAAAGUCCAGUGACUGGGACACAGCUCAAAUUGGCCAAGAAAAAUUGUAUCUUUUACUAGCUUUUUCUUGAGAUACAAAUAUUUCCCAAAAAAGAAAAAUACAAAAUGUUUACUUUCAGUUGGGAAAAAUAUUUGCAUGUAGAUGCCACCAAUAGAUUAAAAAACAAGUAUGACAUUAAGUUACAUUUUAGCCAAUCUUAAACUUCCUUGCAAACCAGAAAACUCAUUUAAUAGAUGGUCAUAAAGCCACAGCAUUUCCUUAUAACUGCAAGUCUUGCUGAAAUG